ACUAUAGAGCUAGCCAAAACAAUUUAAUAUCCCCUCACUAUUACUUAAUAUAUAAACAAUCACUUUCCCCUUAAAACAUUUUAUCCCUCCUAGUAUAGGCGACAGAACAGAAACCCUUGAGCUAUAGAGACAGUACCGCAAGGAAAAGCUGAAAGAGAAGUGAAAUAAAUCAUUAAAGUACAAAAAAGCAGAGACUUACCCUCGUACCUUUUGCAUCAUGAUUUAGCAAGAACAACUAGACAAAAAGCUUUUUUAGUCUAUCUUCCCGAAACUAAACGAGCUACUUCGGAGCAGCAUAUUAGAGCCAACUCACCUCUGUGGCAAAAGAGGGAGAAGACUCCCAAGUAGCGGUGACAAGCCUACCGAGUUUAGUGAUAGCUGGUUAUCCAAAAAAAGAACUUAAAUUCUGCAUUAAUUUCUUCAACACGGUGAACAAAAACUUCUUAGAGAAUAAACCCACUUGUAAAAAUUAAUAGUUAUUCAAAAAAGGUACAGCUUUUUUGAACUAAGAAACAACUUUAUUAGGAGGGUAAUGAUUAUAAUAUUUAAAGGACAACUCCUCAGUGGGCCCGAAAGCAGCCACCUGUAAAGAAAGCGUCACAGCUCAAGCCUCCCAUAAACCCAACAAUCCCUAUAAGCAACUCAAAACCCCCUAAAUAUUUAUUGGAUUAUUUUAUUAAACUAUAAAAGAAAUUAUGCUAAAAUGAGUAAAUAAGGGGUUAACCCCCUCCCACACACUAGUGUAAGUCAGAAAGAAUUAAAUCACUGAUAAUUAACCGAUGCCAAAAUUGAGGCCCUUGUGAUAUAAAAAUUUAUAACAAGAAAAACCCACCCAAACCAUCGUUAACCCUACACAGGAGUGUUAAUCAGGGAAAGAUUAAAAGAAAAUAAAGGAACUCGGCAAACACAAACUCCGCCUGUUUACCAAAAACAUCGCCUCUUGCUCAAAUAUAACUGUAUAAGAGGUCCCGCCUGCCCUGUGAUUUUUUAACGGCCGCGGUAUCUUGACCGUGCGAAGGUAGCGUAAUCAAUUGUCUUUUAAUUAAAGGCCCGUAUGAAAGGCAUCACGAGAGUUUAACUGUCUUUAUUUCCUAAUCAAUGAAAUUGAUCAUCUCGUGCAGAACCGAGAAUAAAUACAUAAGACGAGAAGACCCUAUGGAGCUUCAAACACUUAAGUUACCUUAACACUAAAAAUUACACCCCAGGGUAUAAAAACCAGAAAUAACCUCUAACUUAACUUGUUUUCGGUUGGGGCGACCAAGGAGUAAAACAAAACCUCCUUAUCGAAUGUGUGAGAAAUCACUCAAAAUUAGAAUUACAAUUCUAAUUAAUAGAAAAUCUAACGAACAAUGACCCAGGACCUCAUCCUGAUCAAUGAACCAAGUUACCCUAGGGAUAACAGCGCAAUCCUUUCCUAGAGCUCCCAUCGCCGAAAGGGUUUACGACCUCGAUGUUGGAUCAGGACAUCCUAAUGGUGUAGCCGCUAUUAAGGGUUCGUUUGUUCAACGAUUAAUAGUCCUACGUGAUCUGAGUUCAGACCGGAGCAAUCCAGGUCAGUUUCUAUCUAUGAUGGUAUUCUUCCCAGUACGAAAGGACCGGAAAAAUGAAGCCUAUACCUAAAGGCACGCUUCAACCCAACCUGUUGAAACCAACUCAACCAGGUAAAGAGUGCCAACCCCUAAGCCAAAGAGAAUGGUUU
rnacentral:rRNA from 1 species